GCACCAGUGACGGCUGACAUGCUCGAUGCUCCACCCUAUAUAUAAAUCCUUAUGAUCAGCCGCCUGCUGCCAGGGGACUCUCUGAAGCCAUACCUCACCUAUAUAAAGACACGAGGUAACUCUCCAACAUGAAUGAAGAAUUCCAGACUGAGGGAUUAAUGCUAUUUU